GACGAACGCUGGCGGCGUGCCUAAUACAUGCAAGUCGAGCGAAGUUUUUCUGGUGCUUGCACCGGAAAAACUUAGCGGCGAACGGGUGAGUAACACGUAAAGAACCUGCCUCAUAGACUGGGGCAACUAUUGGAAACGAUAGCUAAUACCGGAUAACAGCAUUAACUGCAUGGUUGAUGUUUAAAAGUUGGUUUUGCUAACACUAUGAGAUGGCUUUGCGGUGCAUUAGCUAGUUGGUGGGGUAAAGGCCUACCAAGGCGACGAUGCAUAGCCGACCUGAGAGGGUGAUCGGCCACACUGGGACUGAGACACGGCCCAGACUCCUACGGGAGGCAGCAGUAGGGAAUCUUCCGCAAUGGGCGAAAGCCUGACGGAGCAACGCCGCGUGAGUGAAGAAGGAUUUCGGUUCGUAAAGCUCUGUUGUUAGGGAAGAAUGAUUGUGUAGUAACUAUACACAGUAGAGACGGUACCUAACCAGAAAGCCACGGCUAACUACGUG
rnacentral:rRNA from 1 species